rnacentral:lncRNA from 1 species
GUUUGGUUUCGGCACGAGAAUUAAGGAAUUGUAGAUUACUGUUUUAAUUGUGUAGUUAAUAAAGUAUAAAAGUGAUAAAGUAGGAGAGAGAAUGUGAUAAAAGUGAUAAAGUAGGAGAGAAAAAAUAAUAAAAAUGAUAAAGUAGGAGAGAGAAGUUACCUUAUCUGAAAACGUGUCAAGAUUCGUGGGACGGGGGAGUAUCAUGAUAAAAGAAAAAGAUUUGGACAAUGAUUUUGACAGCACAUGAGAUAAUACUAGUAUUAUUCCCGUGCGAUGCACG